GACGAACGCUGGCGGCGUGCUUAACACAUGCAAGUCGAACGGCAAGGCCUUUUUCGGGUGGUACUCGAGUGGCCAACUGGCGAGUAACUCGUGAGUACCCUGCCCUCUACUUUUUCAUAACUUCUGGCAUCUGGGGCUAAUCCCUGAUAGGACCUCCUACUUCCUGGUGGGGGUUGGAAAUCUUCGGCGGUUGGGCGUGGACUUGCGGCUUAUCAGCUUGUUGUUGUGGUAGUGGUUUACCACCGCGUUGACGGGUAGCCGGCCUGAGAGGGUGAGAGGCCACAUUGAGACUGAGAGACGGCACAGACUGGGAAGGGAGGCAGCAGUGCGGAAUAUUGAACAAGGGGUGGAAGGCUGAUGCAGCAAGGCCGUGUGCGGGAUGACGGCUUUCGGGUGGUAAACAGCUUGCAGUCAUGAAGAAGCUUUGUGUGACGGUAGUGGAAGAAGAAGCACCGGCUAACUACGUG
rnacentral:rRNA from 1 species